GGUAAGUUUAUUAGAAAAAAGACAGAACAAAAAGUAAUACAAAUAUGGGGGUUUAAGCCUGGGGGCAGUCAUCCUCAAAUAUUGCCUAAAGAAAGCAAGUUCACUAACAUUAUUAGCAGAACCAUUCCUUCUCUCGUCUCUCUCAAGGUUCUUCUCUGCAUGGGCUUUACGCCUCACCAAGGAGGACUGCUUCACCCCCUGGUGGGGGCAAUCAUGGGCCGCCAGCCUUGUCCUGUUAUCGCCCCUUAAGGCCAAUGAUGAAGAAAGGAUGGUUAUGGUUGCCGUGUGUUGCUGAGUGCUCCCCAUGGUGCUAAGUGGCAUAUUUAUGGCCAGCCAUCAAAUCAUUGUGUACCUCAGAUCCUUUCCAUGUACUGAUUGGGGAAGCUCUGCAAACUUCAAAUAACAUUGAAACCUUCCGGGACGAGGCUUUCCUCUGAACUGAUCUACACAGAGCAGCCUUGACAGGGUCCCCUAGUCGUGGUCAUGGGGGUCAGUUAGCUGGGAUGAUGGACAGGACGUUAGUCCAUCACAAGGCACAUAAGCUACGGGCAAUUUGGAGA